CCAUCCUCAAACACCAACUGUUUUCCAUUUCUCUCGAUCCAUCGAUUUAUCAACUGACGAUCGUCACGCGCUCCCCAAACUCCAGUGCCCGCCCACAUAGCGCUUCUGGUUGCCACAGUCGAUAUCGUCUGUGCGGUGGGGAUGAAACUGGACUGGAAGUGAAAUCAAGUCCCAGCCAGAGAGAGAGAUAUGGUGAUGAAACUUCUAUCACAGCUACUACCCAACUCACCCCUCCCCUGGCGACUGAUCAUUUCUUUUUCCUCUCCAGAUGAUCGUUAGUUAACCGUAGCGAACUAAAUAUGCAAGAAGUAAAAAUAGAAUAACAUUUGACAAUAUCCAACAAAAUCACCAUCACCACCAUCAUAUUGCAUAAUAAUAACUAACUAGUUACAGCAUAGACAAAAGGAAUGUAUAUUGGGCACAAGCCUAUCUCUCCAGCGCCAAAGAGCUAAAAAAAUAAGAAUCUCUUACUCUUAGUAACUAAUUAACUAUCCACGGAUAUUUCCAUCGUCACCUCGUCACUUCCUUCCAUGCAUGCAGAAAAACAAUAAUAACCCCAUUUAUUUCUUCCUAUCAUUCUUUAUUACCAUUUACCCGCUCAGGAUGGAUGUGAAAAGGGGGCCAACCACCAGGUGAACUAGGCUCGUUCCCCGAACAGCCCGAAGAUAACCCAGUUCCAGACAGAGAAAAAAGACGGAC
rnacentral:sRNA from 2 species